rnacentral:rRNA from 1 species
AUUGAACGCUGGCGGCAGGCCUAACACGUGCAAGUCGAGCGGGGUUUUCGGACCUAGCGGCGGACGGGUGAGUAAUGCGUAGGAAGCUACCCGAUAGAGGGGGAUACCAGAUGGAGACGACUGUUAAUACCGCAUAAUGUCUACGGACCAAAGUGUGGGACCGUCGGGCCACAUGCUAUCGGAUGCGCCUACGUGGGAUUAGCUAGUUGGUGAGGUAAUGGCUCACCAAGGCGACGAUCCCUAUCUGGUUUGAGAGGAUGAUCAGCCACACUGGAACUGAGACACGGUCCAGACUCCUACGGGAGGCAGCAGUGGGGAAUAUUGGACGAUGGGCGCAAGCCUGAUCCAGCCAUGCCGCGUGUGUGAAGAAGGCCUUCGGGUUGUAAAGCACUUUCAGUAGGGAGGAAGCGUUGUGUGUUAAUAGUACACAGCGUUGACGUUACCUACAGAAGAAGCACCGGCUAACUCUGUGCCAGCCGCCGCCGUAAGAC